GACGAACGCUGGCGGCGUGCUUAACACAUGCAAGUCGAACGGAAAGGCCCUGCUUUGGUGGGGUGCUCGAGUGGCGAACGGGUGAGUAACACGUGAGUAACCUGCCCUGGACUUUGGGAUAACUCCAGGAAACUGGGGCUAAUACCGGAUAGGAGCUCCUGCUGCAUGGUGGGGGGUGGAGAGUUUCGGCGGUUGGGGAUGGACUCGCGGCUUAUCAGCUUGUUGGUGGGGUAGUGGCUUACCAAGGCUUUGACGGGUAGCCGGCCUGAGAGGGUGACCGGCCACAUUGGGACUGAGAUACGGCCCAGACUCCUACGGGAGGCAGCAGUGGGGAAUAUUGCACAAUGGGCGGAAGCCUGAUGCAGCAACGCCGCGUGCGGGAUGACGGCCUUCGGGUUGUAAACCGCUUUCGCCUGUGACGAAGCGUGAGUGACGGUAAUGGGUAAAGAAGCACCGGCUAACUACGUG
rnacentral:rRNA from 1 species